CAGGUGGAGCGGGCAGGGCGCGGGCACCAUGAGCAGCGGCGCCAACAUCACCUAUGCCAGCCGCAAGCGGCGCAAGCCGGUGCAGAAAACAGUAAAGCCCGUCCCUGCUGAAGGAAUUAAGUCGAACCCUUCUAAACGACACAGAGACCGGCUGAACACAGAGUUAGACCGCCUGGCUAGCCUGCUGCCCUUCCCACAAGAUGUUAUUAGUAAGCUGGACAAACUCUCCGUUCUAAGGCUCAGCGUCAGCUACCUGAGGGCCAAGAGCUUCUUUGAUGUUGCAUUAAAAUCCACCCCGGCUGACAGAAGUAGAGGCCAGGACCAGUGUAGAGCACAAGUCAGAGACUGGCAGGACUUGCAAGAAGGAGAGUUCUUGUUACAGGCGCUGAAUGGCUUUGUUCUGGUUGUCACGGCAGAUGCCUUGGUCUUCUAUGCGUCUUCCACUAUCCAAGAUUACCUGGGCUUUCAGCAAUCUGAUGUCAUACAUCAGAGCGUGUAUGAGCUUAUCCAUACAGAAGACCGAGCUGAGUUCCAGCGCCAGCUUCACUGGGCUCUAAACCCCUCACAGUGCACAGACUCUGCACAAGGAGUAGACGAGACUCAUGGCCUCCCACAGCCAGCGGUCUACUACACGCCAGACCAGCUUCCUCCAGAGAAUACCGCUUUCAUGGAGAGGUGCUUCAGAUGCCGGCUGAGGUGCCUGCUGGAUAAUUCAUCUGGUUUCCUGGCAAUGAAUUUCCAAGGGAGGUUAAAGUAUCUUCAUGGACAGAACAAGAAAGGGAAAGACGGAGCGCUACUCCCUCCACAGUUGGCUUUGUUUGCAAUAGCUACUCCACUUCAGCCACCGUCCAUCCUGGAAAUUCGAACCAAAAACUUCAUCUUCAGGACCAAACACAAACUGGACUUCACACCUAUUGGCUGUGAUGCCAAAGGGCAGCUUAUUCUGGGCUACACAGAAGUAGAGCUGUGCAACAAAGGAUCGGGAUAUCAGUUUAUCCACGCCGCUGACAUGCUUCACUGCGCAGAAUCCCACAUCCGCAUGAUUAAGACUGGAGAAAGUGGCAUGACAGUUUUCCGGCUUCUUGCAAAACACAGUCGAUGGAGGUGGGUCCAGUCCAAUGCACGCUUGAUUUACAGAAAUGGAAGACCAGAUUACAUCAUCGCAACUCAGAGACCGCUAACGGAUGAAGAAGGACGCGAACAUUUACAGAAGAGAAGUAUGACACUGCCAUUCAUGUUUGCCACUGGAAAGGCUGUACUGUACGAGAUCUCCAGCCCUUUCUCUCCCAUAAUGGAUCCCUUGCCAAUACGCACCAAAAGCAACACUAGUAGGAAAGACUGGGCUCCCCAGUCAACCCCGAGUAAGGAUUCUUUCCACCCCAAUUCCCUUAUGAGUGCCUUGAUCCAACAGGACGAGUCCAUCUAUCUCUGUCCUCCUUCGAGCCCCGCACCAUUAGACAGCCAUUUUCUCAUGGACUCCAUGAGUGAGUGCGGCAGUUGGCAAGGCAGCUUUGCAGCCGCAAGCAAUGAAGCUCUGCUGAAACACGAGGAAAUCAGACACACUCAGGACGUGAACCUUACACUCUCUGGAGGCCCCUCGGAGCUCUUCCCAGAUAAUAAAAAUAAUGACUUGUAUAGCAUCAUGAGAAACCUAGGGAUCGAUUUCGAAGACAUCAGAAGCAUGCAGAAUGAGGAGUUCUUCCGAACCGACUCCUCCGGUGAGGUUGACUUCAAAGACAUCGACAUAACAGACGAAAUCCUGACGUACGUGCAGGAUUCUCUGAACAAUUCAACUCUGCUGAAUUCAGCUUGCCAGCAACAGCCUGUGAGCCAGCACCUAAGCUGCAUGCUGCAGGAGCGCCUGCAGCUGGAGCAACAACAGCAGCUUCAGCAGCAGCACCCCACUCAGACACUGGAGCCCCAGCGCCAGUUGUGUCAGGUGGAGGUCCCCCAGCACGAGCUGGGUCAGAAAACGAAGCACAUGCAAGUCAAUGGCAUGUUCGCCAGUUGGAACCCUGCCCCUCCCGUGUCUUUCAGCUGUCCUCAGCAGGAACGAAAGCACUAUAGCCUCUUCUCCGGCUUACAGGGGACUGCACAGGAGUUUCCCUACAAGUCAGAGGUGGACAGUAUGCCUUACACACAGAACUUUGCUCCCUGCAACCAGUCACUGCUACCAGAACAUUCCAAGGGUACACAGUUGGACUUCCCUGGAAGGGAUUUUGAACGAUCCCUGCACCCUAACGCUUCUAAUUUAGAAGACUUUGUCAGUUGUUUACAAGUUCCUGAAAACCAAAGACACGGGAUAAACUCACAGUCAGCCAUGGUCAGUCCUCAGGCGUACUACGCUGGGGCCAUGUCCAUGUACCAGUGCCAGGCAGGGCCUCAGCACACCCCUGUGGACCAGAUGCAGUACAGCCCUGAGAUUCCAGGCUCCCAGGCGUUCCUAAGCAAGGUAAGGGCUUUCUACAGGGAAUAAACCUUGUAGGUCCAAGCAUCUCCGUGUAGUCUAUUGUGUUUAAACAUAUUGUCAGAAUCCUUUUAGGCAGCAAGCAACUUUGGGACUACUUCUUAUACAUUUAAGGUCAGUUUCAGAGUCCGAGCAUUUUAAAUGAAGCCUACUCGGCAGACUUGAGCAGCAUUGGCCACCUUCAGACUGCUGCUCACCUCCCUCGCCUGGCAGAAGCCCAGCCUCUUCCUGAUAUCACACCCAGCGGAUUCCUGUAGCUCGAGGCCAGGAUGAAUUUCAGUUCAUUCAGGAACAGGACACCAGAACUGUGAGGGUUGGACUUCAGUACGCUUUCUCCAAAACAGAUCUCAAUGCUGGUGUUUGGUGAAGGAGUUUAAGACCAUAUUGCUAGUUACCUAUAAGGUGGGAUGCUCUGAGGGGCACAGGGAGCGGCCACGUGCAUUCACAGAGCUCCAGCACCUCGGAGUGCACAGUGCUUACUGUGGAGAACUCUUGGAUUCUCUGCUCAGUAACUUCAGCUGGAAAAACAGUGAAGUACUCUGAGCUUUGAACUUGUGGAUUCUUGUUAGUAUACCAAAUACGGAGUUACAGGAUUAAUCGGUUUCCUAUUUUUAACCUCUGUUUUUGUCCCAGAUGUUAAAAUAAAUGGUUUGGUGCUUUUCUCAAAAGAAAAUGUUUUCCUUCUGCACUGUUAAUAUAAAAGUGCCUCACGUUUUUGUUUUUGUUUUUUUUUCUAUCUACCUGUAACACAGGGUGUGUAUUUUAUAUGAAAUAUUUUUAUCUCUUUUGAAUUAAUAUUCUUUCUACACACAGAAAGUUUCUCAAAUCCCAACUUUCUUUUUUUUUAAUGAAUCCAGGCAUGUUUUUACUGCACUACUCAUCCCCUUUCUUCAGAUAAAGGGCAAAGGAUAAAUGAAAGUUAACUAUUUAUUGUGUAAUAUACUUGCUUCUGAACGUUAGAUGUUCCUCUGUGCCUUAUGUUGAAAAAUUUGAAAAUAACAUAUUGCCAAAAUUAUUUAAUUACUGCGUACUAUUAAGAGAGUAGCAAUUGAAUUUUAACAGUGUUUUCUGAGAAAUGAGCCCUGCUGGCUUUCCCUGAGACCUCCAAGAUGAAAUCAGAAAGGUCACCAUAGAAAAUGCUAAAGAUGGCUGUGCCCAUUAGCCUGCAGUGAAGGGAGGUGGCGCUUGUUAAGCUAGUUAGCUAAAUUAAGCAGAGCACUCAUUUCAUUGUCUGAAUUCUCUUUAAAAAACUGUCUUGGGUCUGUAAUCCUUUUCGUUAUAUUGACUUUAUAAAUUCCACUUCUACUAGUGGAAACUAUUAGUUUUUCUCAUAUUUGAGGAGUUAAGAUUGAAGAUGCCGUGUUUGGUGCAAGGUAUUUUAAUGACUGAAAUGAAUGGUGCAUUGUGUAAAGGUAACGAACAAAAUAAUCUAUAAAAUGUUUUCAGGUUUCACUUAAGAAUAGUUCUUACCUCAUAUGCAUAUGUUUUUUCAGUGUAUCUUGUUAAGAAAUCAAAUAAUGAAUUGAGGCUUUUGAGCUGGCAUUAAGAUAAAGAUAAGUACAAUUCACUUCCCUCCAUACAGUAAGUUGUUUGUGUGAUAGAACCUUUGCUACCAAGAUGGCUAAUCUGUCACUCCGCCGAAUGUAGUUCUCAAAUUGCUUAAAGAAAAAAAAAAUGCCAGUGUCUGUCAUUGUCUUUGUCAUCGCUGAGAUUAAUGUAUGAAGGGCAUGGACCUGGAUCUGUUUUUCAUAUAUUGUAUAAAAACCUGAUGAAAUCCCAAACUGAGAUGUAUGAAAAUAUAGCAUUGGUUCUCAACCUGUGAGUCAUGACUCCCUUUGGAGAGAGAAUGGCCCUUUCACAGGGGUUACCUAAGUCCAUUGGAGAGCACAGAUGUUUAUAUCACAGUUUAUAACAGUAGUAAAAUUACAGUUUUGAAGUAACAAUGAAAAUAAUUUUAUGGUUGAAAGAGUCACAGAAUUAGGAAGGUUGAGAGCCACUGAAAUGCAGGCCUUUUUAUUUUUUUAGAAAAUUAUUGUAUGUAAACAUGCCAUCAGGUAAAAAAAAAGUCUCUUACUUCUAUGCAUUUUAAGUCAAAAUUUUGAAACUUUAGGAUUAAGCAUUGAAAAACAACUGUCUAAAACAUUUCACAAUUUGCUUUCAGCAUGAGAUAUCACCAGUGGUCUGAACUAAUAUCCUGUUUUUCUAUGUAAACUUUACAUUAAAAGUUGCCAGAAACCAUUUUGUCAGUCUCUUCUGCAUGUUACCAAAUGUUCAGUUAAAAAAAAAAACAAAACAAAAAACUUUGGACACUGUGAGUAUGAUGGCAUUUAAUCACACACUUAUCAAACUGAAAGUUUUAAAAAGCAAUAUUGUGUGUUCUUAUCUAUAUAAAAAUAGCUAAAAUGCCUAAGAAUAAUAAAAUCACAUUGAACUGCAUAUUCAUUUGUCUGUAUUGCCAAAUGCCAAAUGGAAAGAAUGGUUAAAGCACUGCUAGACUGUGGGAUUAAUUUCUGGAUGAAACUCUAAGACUCUGUAUGUCUGAUUGAAGUUCUUUUCUGGGUGUGUGUUACAGCACCUGAACACUUAACCAAUAUGCCAUUGUAUCAACCACUCAAUCCUUACUAUGCACAAGCUAGUUUGUUCCAGCAUCAAUAGAACUUAGGUUUACAUAGCUUCUUGCUGUCCUUCAAACUGUUAUUGCUUACAUAUGCAGUGCAUAGAUUUAUGUUCGAGUAUGAUUUAUAAUGUCCUUAAAUAUCAAAGGAAAUGUAAACAGUGAUAUACGAUAAUAAACUAACCACCAAGUAUGAA